UACGAAGGGGACUAGCGUUGUUCGGAAUUACUGGGCGUAAAGCGCACGUAGGCGGAUUUGUAAGUCAGGGGUGAAAUCCCGGGGCUCAACCUCGGAACUGCCUUUGAUACUGCAAAUCUCGAGUCCGAUAGAGGUGGGUGGAAUUCCUAGUGUAGAGGUGAAAUUCGUAGAUAUUAGGGAAGAACACCGGUGGCGAAGGCGGCCUGCUGGGGUGGAGCUGACGCUGAGGCGCGACAGCGUGGGGGAGCAAACAGG
rnacentral:rRNA from 1 species